AUUGAACGCUGGCGGCAUGCCUUACACAUGCAAGUCGAACGGCAGCACGGACUUCGGUCUGGUGGCGAGUGGCGAACGGGUGAGUAAUGUAUCGGAACGUGCCUGGUUGUGGGGGAUAACUAGUCGAAAGGUUAGCUAAUACCGCAUACGACCUACGGGUGAAAGCAGGGGACCUUCGGGCCUUGUGCUAUCAGGGCGGCCGAUAUCUGAGUAGCUAGUUGGUGGGGUAAAGGCCCACCAAGGCGACGAUCAGUAGCUGGUCUGAGAGGACGACCAGCCACACUGGAACUGAGACACGGUCCAGACUCCUACGGGAGGCAGCAGUGGGGAAUUGUGGACAAUGGGGGCAACCCUGAUCCAGCAAUGCCGCGUGAGUGAAGAAGGCCCUCGGGUUGUAAAGCUCUUUUGUCAGGGAAGAAAAGGUUGUGGCUAAUAUCCACAGCUGAUGACGGUACCUGAAGAAUAAGCACCGGCUAACUACGUGCCAGCAGCCGCC
rnacentral:rRNA from 1 species